rnacentral:rRNA from 1 species
CCAAGGAGUSUAGCAYUCACGCAAGUCAUUGAGAAUUAUUAUAAACUCAAAGGCAUAAUGAAAGUGAAUAGCGUCCGUAUAUAUUUUWUWAUAUAUACGGACCGUAGGGAAGACGAUGUUUUUUAUGGUGUGACCAUGCAUCCGCACUCCCGAGGCGUUUCGAGAAAUACCCUCGUUGUGAUUAUCAAGACGCACUGAGAGCGUGCACGCUGGGACCCGAAAGAUGGUGAACUAUGCCUGGUCAGGUCGAAGUCAGGGGAAACCCUGAUGGAGGACCGAAGCGAUUCUGACGUGCAAAUCGAUCGUCUGAACUGGGUAUAGGGGCGAAAGACUAAUCGAACUAUCUAAUAKSUGGUUCCSUCCGAAG